UGUUUUANACUUCGGGCCUAUGCCUCUGC
rnacentral:piRNA from 1 species